AUCAUAAAGGAAUGACGCUUUAAAAAAUAACAAUUGAUUUUUUUGAUAUCUCACCAGGUGGCGUUUUAAAUAUAAACACUACUGUAUGUAGAGUUGAAAGACUACGAAGGAGACUACAAUUAGGCCUAGUAACAUAUCUCAUGACAGGCAAUACAUCUUUAAAUUUGGCCCCAUUGGAAAUGGACUGGACUCUGGCCUAAUGGUACUGCUGACAGGAAAAUAUAUUGUCACACAGAUAUUUAAUUGGAUUUAGACAAAGAAUCCACAAUUAUCAGGAAAGAUGUACGGACUCGAUGGUGAUGGUGAAAGGGCAACAGAACUUACCAACUAUUUAUAUAUAGCCAAAAAUGUUGUUAAUAAUCAAGCUUCCUGCACAAAUUCUGGAUAUGAAAUUUAAUAAAAUAUAGGCCUAGUGUGAAUUUUAUUUUUUAAGUAUUUCCUCUGCAAAAAUCUCAAAAAUAAUAUUAUAAUUCUUGUAUGCUUUAUGUUUAUUAAUAGUGUAAUUGUAUUAUUACUACUAAUGUUAACCUUAAUAAUAGACCAAAAAAUUGUAUAAUUGUUACAAAAAAUAUAGACAUAUGUAAGAUAAUAAGAUAUACAAUUUUGUGGACUAAAAUUAGGUCUAUUGAUUUUUGCCGAAUGUACAUGUAGUAGCCUAUACAGUAUAUAUUAAAUAAUCAAAUGUAUACAUAUAUCCUAACUUGAUUUCAGUGCUUGUAAUAAAUAUCAAAUGGCUUAUA